AGAGUUUGAUCCUGGCUCAGAUUGAACGCUGGCGGCAGGCCUAACACAUGCAAGUCGAGCGGAUGAUGGGAGCUUGCUCCCGGAUUCAGCGGCGGACGGGUGAGUAAUGCCUAGGAAUCUGCCUGGUAGUGGGGGACAACGUUUCGAAAGGAACGCUAAUACCGCAUACGUCCUACGGGAGAAAGCAGGGGACCUUCGGGCCUUGCGCUAUCAGAUGAGCCUAGGUCGGAUUAGCUAGUUGGUGGGGUAAAGGCCUACCAAGGCGACGAUCCGUAACUGGUCUGAGAGGAUGAUCAGUCACACUGGAACUGAGACACGGUCCAUACUCCUACGGGAGGCAGCAGUGGGGAAUAUUGGACAAUGGGCGAAAGCCUGAUCCAGCCAUGCCGCGUGUGUGAAGAAGGUCUUCGGAUUGUAAAGCACUUUAAGUUGGGAGGAAGGGCAGUAAGUUAAUACCUUGCUGUNUUGACGUUACCAACAGAAUAAGCACCGGCUAACUUCGUGCCAGCAGCCGCGGUAAUACGAAGGGUGCAAGCGUUAAUCGGAAUUACUGGGCGUUAAGCGCGCG
rnacentral:rRNA from 1 species